CCGUUGCCAUAACACAUUCAAGUUCCAGCUUUUGCCGUUGAAAUCCGUAGCUCUUUCAAAGUUGUUUUCGACAUCAUCGAGAUAUUCCCGACUCUGUCUGGGGGACGAGCUGAUCUAGGCAGUGUCUGCUUUGCUUAUUUAACGGCUGAAGACUGCCCCCCUCCGGAAGAUGACAAUACAUGGAUAUCUAAUAAGAUACAGGACAUGCAAGAUCUCUUUGGGAUUCAUUACUAUUCACUAUAUUUACUAGUCACUAUUUUGAAUUAAAAACAAGUUCUAAAAAUG